UGCAGUCGAACGGUGAAAGAGAGCUUGCUCUCUGGAUCAGUGGCGAACGGGUGAGUAACACGUGAGCAAUCUGCCCCUGACUCUGGGAUAAGCGUUGGAAACGACGUCUAAUACCGGAUACGAGCUGCGAAGGCAUCUUCAGCAGCUGGAAAGAACUUCGGUCAGGGAUGAGCUCGCGGCCUAUCAGCUAGUUGGUGAGGUAAUGGCUCACCAAGGCGUCGACGGGUAGCCGGCCUGAGAGGGUGACCGGCCACACUGGGACUGAGACACGGCCCAGACUCCUACGGGAGGCAGCAGUGGGGAAUAUUGCACAAUGGGCGAAAGCCUGAUGCAGCAACGCCGCGUGAGGGACGACGGCCUUCGGGUUGUAAACCUCUUUUAGCAAGGAAGAAGCGAAAGUGACGGUACUUGCAGAAAAAGCGCCGGCUAACUACGUGCCAGCAGCCGCGGUAAUACGUAGGGCGCAAGCGUUAUCCGGAAUUAUUGGGCGUAAAGAGCUCGUAGGCGGUUUGUCGCGUCUGCUGUGAAAACCCGAGGCUCAACCUCGGGCCUGCAGUGGGUACGGGCAGACUAGAGUGCGGUAGGGGAGAUUGGAAUUCCUGGUGUAGCGGUGGAAUGCGCAGAUAUCAGGAGGAACACCGAUGGCGAAGGCAGAUCUCUGGGCCGUAACUGACGCUGAGGAGCGAAAGGGUGGGGAGCAAACAGGCUUAGAUACCCUGGUAGUCCACCCCGUAAACGUUGGGAACUAGUUGUGGGGUCCAUUCCACGGAUUCCGUGACGCAGCUAACGCAUUAAGUUCCCCGCCUGGGGAGUACGGCCGCAAGGCUAAAACUCAAAGGAAUUGACGGGGACCCGCACAAGCGGCGGAGCAUGCGGAUUAAUUCGAUGCAACGCGAAGAACCUUACCAAGGCUUGACAUAUACNAGAACGGGCCANAAAUGGUCAACUCUUUGGACACUCGUAAACAGGUGGUGCAUGGUUGUCGUCAGCUCGUGUC
rnacentral:rRNA from 1 species